AGCGAACGCUGGCGGCAGGCCUAACACAUGCAAGUCGAACGAAGUCUUCGGACUUAGUGGCGGACGGGUGAGUAACACGUGGGAACGUACCUUUUGGUUCGGAAUAACGCAGGGAAACUUGCGCUAAUACCGAAUGUGCCCUUAGGGGGAAAGAUUUAUCGCCAUUAGAGCGGCCCGCGUUGGAUUAGGUAGUUGGUGUGGUAAAGGCGCACCAAGCCUACGAUCCAUAGCUGGUCUGAGAGGAUGAUCAGCCACACUGGGACUGAGACACGGCCCAGACUCCUACGGGAGGCAGCAGUGGGGAAUCUUGCGCAGUGGUCGAAAGACUGACGCAGCCAUGCCGCGUGAAUGAUGAAGGUCUUAGGAUUGUAAAAUUCUUUUAGCAGGGACGAUAAUGACGGUACCUGCAGAAAAAGCCCCGGCUAACUUCGUGCCAGCCGCCGCCGUAAGAC
rnacentral:rRNA from 1 species